UCUAAAGUUUUUGUUAACAAGGCACUUUUUCUCUUCUCUGCUUUUCUUCCUAGUCCUCAGAUUCAGCUACCAACCCUUAUAGAACUGGCUCAGGUUUGCCUUGCAGCAGCUCUUAAUUAUGCUGUUAUAGUUUUAGACUGCCAGGGGACUUCCUUUGA